AUAAUCGAUAACAAAUAUUCGGAACUGCUAACUCAUGAACAAAGUAAACAGCUGUAACAACAAUGAAAAUGUAAACAACAAUGAUCGGGCCCCGGUUUCGGACCCAGCGUACCCGCCCUACCAUGAGACGAUCACCUGCACUCGUCUCCCUCUUUUUGGCCACCUGUCGGCCUACAUCAGCCUGUGUCGGCUGUUAUGCCCCCCCUCCCCAUCAAGUAACACUUAGCCUGACAUUUCUCUCUUCAAUAUGUGUCUCCAUUCAGAUAAUUUAGCUUUCAUGCACGUGAACAUUUCUUCUCCAGCACUAAAUGGAACAGGCGACGAAAUACUGCAAAGAUAUUGCUAGUCGCCGCGAAAAGAGACAAGCAAGGAGGCAAUUUAGAGGCAAUCGUUGCGCCGAUUUAGGAACAAUGUACCCACACAAAUACUUAGAACUGGGUAUGUCACGAUAAUCAGUCGUGCAACAGGUGCAGAUGCAUCACCUUUGCAGUUUUCCUUCACCGUUCGCACUCUAAAGUGAAGCUCGGCGUAAGUGCCUAUGGAGUACAAUCAGGAGUCUUCGUCUGACUCUGCCAAGGACUCGAACGAAGAGGGGCAAAAUGGAACAGACUCACUCGGAGGAUGUGGGCGUGGUCUCGCCUGUGGCCGCUUCUUCGUUGUUGGAGCC